CCCUUAGAUGUUCUGGGCCGCACGCGCGCUACACUGACGAAUGCAACGAGCUUAUAACCUUGGCCGAAAGGUCUGGGUAAUCUCCAAAUUUCGUCGUGAUGGGGCUAGAUUAUUGCAAUUAUUAAUCUUCAACGAGGAAUGCCUAGUAAGCGCAAGUCAUCAGCUUGCGUUGAUUACGUCCCUGCCCUUUGUACACACCGCCCGUCGCUCCUACCGAUUGAAUGGUCCGGUGAAGCGUUCGGACCGUGGCCUUUGGACGGUUCGCCGUCUGUUGGCUGCGGGAAGUUCGUUAAACCUUAUCAUUUAGAGGAAGGAGAAGUCGUAACA
rnacentral:rRNA from 1 species